rnacentral:lncRNA from 1 species
UCAGGUUACGCGAAUUGGCCAAGGGAUGCCAUGUACGGCUAGGGGUACCGGCCAAAGGUCACAUCUGUGCCUUCUCCAACGUCUGUUGGUAAGUUUUCUAUUUUUCUUUUCAGGUUGAUCGAUCUAACCGGUUCAAACUAGCCCCAAACCAAGUUUGUUGAACCUGUCCAAUUGUGUUAGACCAGUUUUAACCACUAACCGAUUCUAGUUGUUUUAUGCAGGUUCAAAUUUCG